rnacentral:rRNA from 1 species
AGAGUUUGAUCCUGGCUCAGGAUGAACGCCGGCGGUGUGCCUAAUACAUGCAAGUCGUACGCACUGGCCCAACUGAUUGAUGGUGCUUGCACCUGAUUGACGUUGGAUCACCAGUGAGUGGCGGACGGGUGAGUAACACGUAGGUAACCUGCCCCGGAGCGGGGGAUAACAUUUGGAAACAGAUGCUAAUACCGCAUAACAACAAAAGCCACAUGGCUUUUGUUUGAAAGAUGGCUUUGGCUAUCACUCUGGGAUGGACCUGCGGUGCAUUAGCUAGUUGGUAAGGUAACGGCUUACCAAGGCGAUGAUGCAUAGCCGAGUUGAGAGACUGAUCGGCCACAAUGGAACUGAGACACGGUCCAUACUCCUACGGGAGGCAGCAGUAGGGAAUCUUCCACAAUGGGCGCAAGCCUGAUGGAGCAACACCGCGUGAGUGAAGAAGGGUUUCGGCUCGUAAAGCUCUGUUGUUGGAGAAGAACGUGCGUGAGAGUAACUGUUCACGCAGUGACGGUAUCCAACCAGAAAGUCACGGCUAACUACGUGCCAGCAGCCGCGGUAAUACGUAGGUGGCAAGCGUUAUCCGGAUUUAUUGGGCGUAAAGCGAGCGCAGGCGGUUGCUUAGGUCUGAUGUGAAAGCCUUCGGCUUAACCGAAGAAGUGCAUCGGAAACCGGGCGACUUGAGUGCAGAAGAGGACAGUGGAACUCCAUGUGUAGCGGUGGAAUGCGUAGAUAUAUGGAAGAACACCAGUGGCGAAGGCGGCUGUCUGGUCUGCAACUGACGCUGAGGCUCGAAAGCAUGGGUAGCGAACAGGAUUAGAUACCCUGGUAGUCCAUGCCGUAAACGAUGAGUGCUAGGUGUUGGAGGGUUUCCGCCCUUCAGUGCCGGAGCUAACGCAUUAAGCACUCCGCCUGGGGAGUACGACCGCAAGGUUGAAACUCAAAGGAAUUGACGGGGGCCCGCACAAGCGGUGGAGCAUGUGGUUUAAUUCGAAGCUACGCGAAGAACCUUACCAGGUCUUGACAUCUUGCGCUAACCUUAGAGAUAAGGCGUUCCCUUCGGGGACGCAAUGACAGGUGGUGCAUGGUCGUCGUCAGCUCGUGUCGUGAGAUGUUGGGUUAAGUCCCGCAACGAGCGCAACCCUUGUUACUAGUUGCCAGCAUUAAGUUGGGCACUCUAGUGAGACUGCCGGUGACAAACCGGAGGAAGGUGGGGACGACGUCAGAUCAUCAUGCCCCUUAUGACCUGGGCUACACACGUGCUACAAUGGACGGUACAACGAGUCGCAAGCUCGCGAGAGUAAGCUAAUCUCUUAAAGCCGUUCUCAGUUCGGACUGUAGGCUGCAACUCGCCUACACGAAGUCGGAAUCGCUAGUAAUCGCGGAUCAGCAUGCCGCGGUGAAUACGUUCCCGGGCCUUGCACACACCGCCCG